rnacentral:lncRNA from 1 species
CUCAAUCCUGCUCUCAAUCCCUAAGUCAAGGUAAGCUUAAGCGAAUAAUCUGCAAUUCUGUGUGCUAAAUGCUAAUAUUAGCAAUAGUAAGUGUAUAUUAUCUUAUUGUUGCGGCUGAAGCAAUGUAACAUAUUGGAUUAAGAAUAUAGGGAGAUUUAAUUGCAAUAUUUUGUUUGUCAAAGUUGAAGAAAUUUAAUAAUUAAAUAUUUAAAGAAUAAUCAUUUUAUUAUUAUCACAUUAAAGGGUAUUCCAGUGUGUGAAAUGAGUGGAUUUGGUUACCUAUUUAUAUGUGUUGAUUUUGCUUGAUUUGCUUACGAAUUGGUAAUAUCAAAUAAUCCAAUAUAUGAAAUGGAUAUAUAUUGCACAAUGUUAGUGCGUUAUCAUCCAACUUUGCUCACUGACAUCAUCAUCUGCAUUUGAAAAAUCAGCAGCUUCACUGGUCUGGCUUGCUAUUUCAGAGUAAUUUGAGUUGUCAUUGACGGGAUCUGUUUCACAUGAUUUAAUAUCCAUAUAGUUCUCGGCAGAUAUCAUAUCAUUCUUGGAAACAACAUUUUCAAUAUGCUUCUCAUCAUUGUUUUCAUGAACCUGGUUUGAAGCCUUAGCAUCUUCACUAACAUGAAGCACCCAGUUGUCAUGAAGAUACUUCACACCUUCUAGAGGGCUGGAUCAUUAAGCACUUCACUUUUUGAAAUUAGAAUUUCUUUGCGUGUGGUGUUCUUAUGAUCUCCUCUUUUAACAUAUUUUACUAAUGCUGUUUUUAAUGCAGGUUGUUUUGGCUGCUAAUGACUCAUAUUCUAUCAAUUAUAUCAAAGG